ncrna:Oikopleura dioica microRNA odi-mir-1490b precursor
UUCGCGAGGCAGUGAGUUGAUAGCGCCCUGUAGAGUGGGUUUAGAACUAAACGAGGCCUAUCCUUACUCGCCACAACGAA